GAUAAUGUUGUUGGGGUUUGUCAUGGAUGAGGUUAGUGUAGUGGUAAAGUUGUUAGUGGAUGAGAUAAAGAUGAUGGGUAAGGAUUGGUGUCAUUGGAUGAUUUGUUGUGAGGGAAAACUGAGAGGGGACUAAUGUGGGGCUCUCAUUGAUCGGAGUUGGGAUUGGUUGCUAAAGACGAGAGAGAAGGGUGUGAACAAAAGCAUAAGAAGGA
rnacentral:lncRNA from 1 species